UCUCUCUCUCUCUCUGCUUAUAAUAAUAAUCCACAAAUUUGCAGGACAAAACAAAAACUAGUUCUAAAUCAAGACUGAAUGAGACCUUUAGCCAUAGUAAAAGCAAACGAACCACAGUGCUCACGGCACGGACUUUAGCCGAUCUGAAGGCAGCGGUACCUGAAACAUCGCACUGGUCCACUUGUUUGGUUCUUAAAAGGUAUUGGAGCUGUACAGAGACAGGUGCUUCAGCUUGCCUGAUGUGUAAAGCUCUACUUCAUGAGCUCCAUUUCAUCAUAUCCUUUUCCAAUCAUCUGCCCUGUAAGCCACUCUGAGAGCCCAUCCACACGCUCUCCUUCAUGACCCCAAGUCCAGGCAGCAGUGCAAAGGAAAAAGCUGAAUGUUCUAGGAGCUCGUUGGGCUUUUCUAUUAGAACACAGGCAAGUAACUGAGUUCGAUGCUUAGUGCAGGAAG